rnacentral:rRNA from 1 species
UACGGAGGGGGUUAGCGUUGUUCGGAAUUACUGGGCGUAAAGCGCGCGUAGGCGGAUUAGAAAGUUGGGGGUGAAAUCCCGGGGCUCAACCCCGGAACUGCCUCCAAAACUACUAGUCUAGAGUUCGAGAGAGGUGAGUGGAAUUCCGAGUGUAGAGGUGAAAUUCGUAGAUAUUCGGAGGAACACCAGAGGCGAAGGCGGCUCACUGGCUCGAUACUGACGCUGAGGUGCGAAAGUGUGGGGAGCAAACAGC